rnacentral:rRNA from 1 species
GUAAGCAGAACUGGCGCUGUGGGAUGAACCAAACGGGCGGUUAAGGUGCCAAACACUAAUGCUCAGCAGACCCCAUAAAAGGUGUUGCUUGAUAUAGACAGCAGGACGGUGACCAUGGAAGUCGGAAUCCGCUAAGGAGUGUGUAACAACUCACCUGCCGAAUCAAGCAGCCCUGAAAAUGGAUGGCGCUGGAGCGUUGGACCUAUACCGCGCCGUCCGAGGCAGGUGGCGACCGCGAAUUCGGUCGACCGACGACGCCCGGACGAGUAGAAGGGUCGCCGCGGAGAGCAUUGAAGUUCGAGACGCGAGUCUGGAUGGAGCCUCCGCGGGUGCAGAUCUUGGUGGUAGUAGCAAAUAUUCAAGUGAGAACCUUGAAGGCUGAAGUGGAGAAGGUUUCCACGGUAACAUUGGUUGGUCAUGGGUGAGUCGGUCCUAAGAAAUGGGAGAAAUCCUGUGGAACGGGAGCAAUGACACACACACAAACGUUGGUCACGCUCAUACGCAUCGAAAGGGAAUCGAGUUAAUAUUCUCGAACCUGUGCACGGAAAUCGACCCCUCGCGGGUCCGCAGCUGUAAAGCAAACGAGAUCGGAGACGUUGGCGAGGGCCCCGGGAAGAGUUUUCUUUUCUUUGUGAGGAACCCACUCCCUGGAAUCGGCUCGUCCGGAGAUAGGGACACGGGUUCCGUAAAGCACCGUGGUUCUUGCGGUGUCCGGAGCACUCUCGCCGACCCUUGAAAAUCCGAUCGAGUGGUAGUAAUUUUCGUGCCAGGCCGUACCCAUAUCCGCAGC